rnacentral:rRNA from 1 species
CUUUAAUGAACCCUUCGGGGAGAAUUAAAGCGGAUUAGUGGCGAACGGGUGAGUAACGCGUGAGUAACCUGCCUUACACAAGGGGAUAGCCUUUGGAAACGAAGAAUAAUACCCUAUAAAACCAUAAAAGCACAUGCAAUUAUGGUCAAAGUAUUAGCGGUGUAAGAUGGACUUGCGUCUGAUUAGCUAGUUGGUGAGAUAAAAGCCCACCAAGGCAACGAUCAGUAGCCGGCUUGAGAGAGUGUACGGCCACAUUGGGACUGAGACACGGCCCAGACUCCUACGGGAGGCAGCAGUGGGGAAUUUUGCACAAUGGGGGAAACCCUGAUGCAGCGACGCCGCGUGAUUUAGAAGGCCUUCGGGUUGUAAAAAUCUUUUGUAUAGGAAGAAAAUGACAGUACUAUACGAAUAAGGUCCGGCUAAUUACGUGCCAGCAGCCGCGGUAAUACGUAAGGACCGAGCGUUGUCCGGAAUCAUUGGGCGUAAAGGGUACGUAGGCGGCUAGAAAAGUUAGAAGUCAAAGGCUAUAGCUCAACUAUAGUAAGCUUCUAAAACUAUUUAGCUUGAGAGAUGGAAGGGAAAGUGGAAUUCCUAGUGUAGCGGUGGAAUGCGCAGAUAUUAGGAGGAAUACCGGUGGCGAAGGCGACUUUCUGGCCAUUUUCUGACGCUGAGGUACGAAAGCGUGGGUAGCAAACAGGAUUAGAUACCCUGGUAGUCCACGCCGUAAACGAUGAGUGUUAGGUGUCUGGAGUCAAAUCUGGGUGCCGCAGCAAACGCAUUAAACACUCCGCCUGGGGAGUACGCACGCAAGUGUGAAACUCAAAGGAAUUGACGGGGACCCGCACAAGCAGCGGAGCAUGUGGUUUAAUUCGACGCAACGCGAAGAACCUUACCAAGUCUUGACAUAUUUUAGAAGCAAUUAGAGAUAGUUGCCUAUAUCUUCGGAUAACUAAAAUACAGGUGGUGCAUGGUUGUCGUCAGCUCGUGUCGUGAGAUGUUGGGUUAAGUCCCAUAACGAGCGCAACCCCUAUUGCUAGUUACCAUCAUUAAGUUGGGGACUCUAGUAAUACUGCCGGUGACAAA